UACAGAGGGUGCAAGCGUUGUUCGGAAUUAUUGGGCGUAAAGGGCGCGUAGGCGGUGCCACAAGUCACCUGUGAAAUCUCCGGGCUUAACUCGGAGCCUGCAGGCGAAACUGUGGUGCUGGAGUGUGGGAGAGGUGCGUGGAAUUCCUGGUGUAGCGGUGAAAUGCGUAGAUGUCGGGAGGAACACCUGUGGCGAAAGCGGCGCACUGGACCAUAACUGACGCUGAUGCGCGAAAGCGAGGGGAGCAAACAGG
rnacentral:rRNA from 1 species